UCUUCAUUUCACACACUCUCUCGCCUCUCUGACCGGUGAGAGAGUGUGUAAAAUGAAGAGA
rnacentral:pre_miRNA from 1 species